rnacentral:misc_RNA from 1 species
GAUGAAGAACGUAGCGAAAUGCGAUAAGUAAUGCGAAUUGCAGAAUCCGUGAGUCAUCGAAUCUUUGAACGCACAUUGCGCCCUCUGGUAUUCCGGGGGGCAUGCCUGUCCGAGCGUCAUUGCUGCCCUCAAGCACGGCUUGUGUGUUGGGCCCCGUCCUCCGAUUCCGGGGGACGGGCCCGAAAGGCAGCGGCGGCACCGCGUCCGGUCCUCGAGCGUAUGGGGCUUUGUCACCCGCUCUGUAGGCCCGGCCGGCGCUUGCCGAUCAACCCAAAUUUUUAUCCAGGUUGACCUCGGAUCAGGUAGGGAUACCCGCUGAACUUAAGCAUAUCAAUAAGCGGAGGA